GAGAUGGUGUGUGCCGGGUGCGGGGGGUGGGAGUGCGGGGGGAGGGGAGCCAUGGGAGUGGGGGUCAGGGCCGCCGUUGCUGCAGUCGGCCCUACACCUGCCUGGGAGGGCUGGACCAGUCCUGAAAGCCCCCGGUGGUGGUGCCAUGUCUGCCCACCAGCCCGCCUGUCGCUUGGCACCAGUGGAGUCUUCGCUUGCAAAGCGGGAUUAGACACCAAAGCCCUAACACCCAGACUGUUCAAUUCAUUCCAGAACUGAAGAAUAGAUAGAGCCUGUUGCUGCUGGAGCUGAUUCCCUUCCCCUCCUCAUCUCCCACCUCCUUUCAGUCUCACAUACACACACAGAUGCUGCCACAGACACACGCGAGCGCAAAUAUUUACACACUGCCACACCGAAGAAAUCCAUGCACGUUUUCCUGCAAACACGCGCGCGCGCACACGUACUUCGGCGGGCGCCCACGUCCUCUGUCUCACCAACAGACACAGACAUAUACACUUCUAGGCCAGGAAAGCGCUAACCAGGGCCCUGUGACUCUACGCAGGUUCCAGAACACGCCUUCUACAUUUGUUACUGAACCGAUCAGCGAACACAGACAAACGUGCCAACACUUAAGUCUACUGGCUGGACUUCAUCUCCAUGGCAACAAGCAUGGAAGGUUUUAAGAAAAAUAAGAGAGUAGUGGAUUAAUCACUGGUUAAGAGCCAACAGACUUCACUCCUCCAACAAUCAGCUAUGAUACUGUGUCUGUGUCUACAUUAUGCAUUUUCAAAAGGCGAAGAGUUGAUUCCAGAAGGAACUGUGAAGAGCCACAACAAUGUGCCAGUGAAUAAUGAGUAGUACCUACUGUGGCAACUCUUCAGCUAAGAUGAGUGUCAACGAAGUAUCAGCUUUCUCAUUGACUCUGGAGCAAAAAACUGGCUUUGCUUUUGUUGGGAUUUUGUGUAUCUUCUUGGGACUUCUUAUUAUCCGAUGCUUCAAAAUCCUGCUAGACCCAUAUAGUAGCAUGCCUUCCUCUACAUGGGAAGAUGAAGUUGAAGAGUUUGAUAAAGGGACAUUUGAAUAUGCACUCGCGUGAGAGUUCCAGCUAUAUGGUUUUUAUGGUUGUGCCAUCGGGACACAUUCUGGAUACAAUUGUAACUACCUUGAGGGUGUGGGAGAGAGGCUCAUUUUGUUCAGUGAAUUCAAUAAACAUCUGUGACUAAUUUCUUCA